GUGUGUGUUAGUGUGUGUGUGUGUGUGCGUGUGUGUGUGUAUGUGUGUGUGUGCAGGGAAAGAGUAGGGCACUAAUCUUAAACAACAGGAAAUUUUAAGUGUAUGGAUGAAAUAGUGAAAGGUGGAGAAAUAGGGAAGGAAAAUUAAUUCAUAUUCAUCACACACACACUACAGAUUAAUUAUUAUCAUUAAUAUUAUUAUUAGUAGUAUCAUCAUCAUCAUUAAAGAGAAAGUUGUUAAGUAUAAACAAGUAGUCUAUAAACAAUAUAUAGAAAAAUCUAUACA